GACGUAGGGUGCGAGCGUUGUCCGGAUUUAUUGGGCGUAAAGAGCUCGUAGGCGGCUCGUCGCGUCGACCGUGAAAACCCGCAGCUUAACUGCGGGCUUGCGGUUGAUACGGGCGGACUAGAGUUCGGUAGGGGAGACUGGAAUUCCUGGUGUAGCGGUGAAAUGCGCAGAUAUCAGGAGGAACACCGGUGGCGAAGGCGGGUCUCUGGGCCGAUACUGACGCUGAGGAGCGAAAGCGUGGGGAGCGAACAGG
rnacentral:rRNA from 1 species